rnacentral:rRNA from 1 species
UCGCUUUACUGGUAAUACCUAUCCUCGCAGCCGGAUGGCAUCAACCUCAAACGCCAAAGCUUUGAUUUUGAGCCCACAGAUCUCUCUGAACACAAGCCUACCAGCAAUGUGCUGCUAUACGGUAGCAUCCUAUUUACCCUUCAGACGUCACAAGGAAUUCUGCAGUUCAGGCAUAGUUCAGGUAAGCUCCAGUUGGAGCCUACAGGGGGGAAAUUUCUUCUUCAAUCUCAUACUCUCCCAAUCCGAGUCGACCAUCGAAUCCUUCUAUCUGCAGCAGCAUUGGGGGUGAUAUGCCUUCCUCCAAUGCACCCGACACAAAAUCCUCAACAAAUUUAACCUGCCUUGGUUUUUCGUCCACUUGGGACUCGCGGUGAUAUCCAGGGUCACCAAGAGAUCCGGGCACGCGCACCAUUGUGGUAUAGUCGCUCUCGGAAAUUUUUUCUGAUGUGCGAACACCCACGAGAUGCCCAGAUGACUGAGGGUACUCCGUCUAUCCAGGUCUUGGUCCAGUAGCAUCGAGCUGGCUGGACCGGUCACUUCCAUCACCUUGGCUGUGACGACUGGGUGAUCCAUCUCUUGAAAUCUCACCUUGUGUACCCGCCAGCAUUGGCGGGUACACACUCCUGGGGGGCUCUUGGACAAAAAGUAAAGAUGCAUGGUUAGGGCAGCGGGGCGAGGGUUAGGACAAGGGUUGCUCCUGGGCGGAAAUCUUCACCGGGGAGCGGACUGGCGUUAUACUUGGUUUCAGUAUAGGCAGAGCGUACCGGUCGUGAUCGUUCUUGUCCUAUUCUUGAGCUUUAUUUGCUUACCGUUCACAUCAAUCGUCUUCGAUCGUGUAAUAUCCACAAGACGUAAGCGAAUGAAACCCACCAAAUUGGUCCCAAAGUCACCUUGCCGAUGCCGCCUCGCAUCACUAGCUAUACCGAUGCUGACUUUGCGGCGAAUAAGUUGGACAGGAAGAGCGUCCGUGCAGUGGUACUUUACGUAAAUGGUAUUGUGAUCGGGUGGAGUUGCAAAAAGCAAGCUUCUGUUGCGCUGUCGACAGCCGAGACCAAAUUUGUCGCUGCAGUAGCCUAUGGAAGGGACACGCUCGGCAUGAAAGAAUUACUCGAAGAAAUUGGGAUGAAGACGAAAGCGCCGAUUGUUCUUAAAAUUGACAAUCAGGCAGCCAUUUCCUCCAAAACGAAGCUAGUGCUGCCAGCGCGAAGCACGUUCGACAUAACGCUGAAAUUCCUGAGGACUGCGCAAAAAGGAGCAAGGUGUUACCAGAGCAUGUCGCGAGUCAGAACAUGGUGGCAGACCUAUUGAUGAAGACUUUAAGUGGAGGAAUUGCGGAACAAAAUUGGUCUAGUUUGAAGGUCAAGUUACGAAUGGAUGAUGGUUGCGAUAUUCUAUAUUAGUGCAUGGAUAAUUUUACGAUUUGUACGCAUGCACAAUAACUCCCGGUGUCUUUGGAAGGAGUACUGGAAUUUCAGUGGUGUUUUUUGUCAAGGUCGACAAAAUGAAAUGUCCGGCUAAGCAAAGCUACGGUGGAUUUUGUGCAUAACAAUUUUCAAGUUUCAAGUUAGGGAAUUUGAGUUUGAUGUUUCUUAACUCUUUAUAAUACACUUUCUUUUAACUAAGAAAUACGGCACUUCCUCGUCGCACUUUCUGUUUGGUACUUACACUCCAAACGUGUCUGCGCACCCCAAAGCACUAAUCGGUUUAUAACUUCCAACACAUAGGGUUUUGUUACCAGUGAUCAGUAAGGGUUUUUGGUUUAGGGUCUGAACCCCUAACCCUACGUCUGUGUGGUCUUGUCUGUUUUCUGGGGCAAGUCUUGAGCGCACCAACCCAAAAUCUGCACAGCAUCCAAAUUUCAACACCCAAUAGGGUUCGGGUUAUAGUGAUUAUAAAUUGACAAUAAGGCCCAGUCUCAACCGAGGCGUUUUAAGCGCAUGCGUCCCCUAUCCCUUCACGGACGGGUUACAAAAAGUGGGAAACUCGCUCAAGAGUAAUGCGGAUUGGCAUUUAUCAGCUCCUUCACACCAAUGCGUCAAACGUGUUGAACAACUGUCUCAGAACUGGAGCGGACAAGGGGAAUCCGACUGUUUAAUUAAAACAAAGCAUUGUGAUGGCCGGAGACGGUGUUGACACAAUGUGAUUUCCGCCCAGUGCUCUGAAUGUCAAAGUGAAGAAAUUCAACCAAGCGCGGGUAAACGGCGGGAGUAACUAUGACUCUCUUAAGGUAGCCAAAUGCCUCGUCAUCUACGCGCAUGAAUGGAUUAAUGAGAUUCCCACUGUCCCUAUCUACUGUCUAGCGAACCCGCAGCCAAGGGAACGGGCUUGGAAUAAUCAGCGGGGAAAGAAGACCCUGUUGAGUUUGACUCUAGUCUGAUGUUGUGAAAUGACUUGGGAGGUGUAGAAUAAGGGGAGGCUUUUGCCGUCAGUGAAAUACCACUUGUAAUGGGGUACCAUUACAUAAGUGAUAUUUGAAUAGAAAUAUCACAGUUCAAUUUCAAUCGUAAUACCUGAAAUUGUGAAUAUUGGAUU